AGCCCUAAAAAACAGAGUAAUUUGGCUAUGGCCGAUGAUGGGCACCAUCGACCACAAGGAUGGUCUUCUUUCACGAAAACGAUGUACGGCAUGGCCAUCGACCAGGCUGCCAUAGAUCCAUUCCCGCCUCUAGGUACGGCACAUUCUAGGGCGAGCCAAGCAGAGGAGAUUCCAGCGAGCUACGCCAGCGCUGUGGAUCCUUUCAAUCGCGGGAGCGAUGGAGAAUCCGCGCCACUGCGCCAGAAAGAGCUUGCGGUGGGAGAUUUGCAGGGCGCGGCUGCGAGCUCCUCCAGCUCCACCAGCGAUUUGGCUAUGGCGUCGAGUAGCGGCGAUUCUUACCAUCAGCUUCGCAAGGAUGCGAUCAAAGCGUCAAGGCUGAUGAGCCGGCACGCGCGAUCCGCCGCCACUGCAUUCCAGCGCGGCGAUCAUCACAGGGCCAAGGAGCUGUCACGGCAGAGCCGGCAAGAACGCGCGCUCGCAGAGAAGCUCAACUUGGAGGCCGCGGCGGAGAUCAUGAAACUCAGGAACCAGGAGGCCGCGCUUCCGGCAGGGACGAUCGAUUUGCACGGCCUCCAUGUUCGCGAGGCAGUGGCUGUUCUCCAGCAAAGGCUAGCGGAGCUCGAGGAUCAAAUCUCUUCCUCCUUACACAGGAGCCAUCUCACAGUCAUCACAGGAACUGGAUCGCACAGUCGCGAUGGGCCUGCGAUUCCCACUGCCGUGACCAACUUUCUCAUCACUAACAACUACAGAUACACGGAGCCACGACCCGGAAUGAUCUCCGUGCAACUAAAAAUAAGGAAAGAGAUUCUCUGAAGUUUCUUAACUUACCAUGUACACUUCCAGCAUCAUCGCGACUUGUAUACAUACGUAAUCGAUUUUCUCAGAACGAAAAGAAAGAGCUUCACUAACAUUCAGCUAGUUCAACAUUAUUCGUAAUCUAGUUUCUCAGGUAAGCUGAACUUCUUCCUCCACCCGCAGAUUAUCAUCUCGUCGGGAGAGUCCGUGUGGAUAAAGCUUGGACGAGCUUCCAUAAGCUGUGAAGAUUGAUCGAACCAAUCCAGUUAAAGCCUUGCAAGUCCCGUGAGUUUUUCUUGGUGAAAAGUUCUACAAACCUCUAUAUACUUGUGAAGUGCUUCAAGCUUUUCAGGGAAAGCGAAUCCCAUAAUCUGGCCCAGUGCUACUCGAGCGUGUCGGAGCUUCGGUGCUACUGUGAAAUCCGAGUCUGUUGGUUUUUCUCCAGCAAUGUACGGACCCUUUCACCACUCGAUCCAUGUGCUGAUUAAACGAUAGGAGUUCUUUUAUCAGAUCCUGUUUGGCUGGAUGAGCUUGGUCUUUGGACUUGAGCCACUCCACGAACCUAGGAAAGAUUCCCGAUCCUCUGCGAGAAGAGAAAAUAUGCGUCUUUAGAGCAGGAUUUGGAAACUUGGCCUCCAAGUGCUCGAAGAUCCUCUCCGAGUCUUGGAUCCAUUCGGAGCCAUCUCGCAAAACGGGCAUAAGACCCGAGGGGUUCUUCUCCAUGAACCUGUUAGCCACGACGAUCUAACUAAACAAGGUGAAGCUGCAAAUUCUAGUGUACCAUGCAGGCUUGUCAGGACCUUCUUGAAUGUACGUGGCUUUGUAAGGCAGCCUCUUCUCUGAUUCGCUGCGAGAAGGGGCCUGGAAUCCAUCAAAAACGAUCGAGAACUGAGAUUCCCAGUUCCAGUGGCGGCCUUGCCGAAAACUUCGAGAUCCACUCCAGCAACGACAUGGCUCUGCGAUGGCGGCUUGAGCGCAUCGCCGUCAGCUCUAUUCACCUCCUGGACUCUGGAAAAACGCGACGAAUCUUGAGCGAGCUCGCGGAGAAAGAGAUAAAACUCUCGAGCUUUUGGUACCUGGAUGGCUCGGGGUGAUACAUUCUUCCAAGAACUCCGGAAGUUCUCACGCCAAGAAAUCUAAUUAAUUAGAGUUAAAGUUAAAUAAGUAAUAAUUAGUUUUGAAAUCAAUCAAAACCUUAAUUAAUCGUUUGCUGCUAAA